rnacentral:rRNA from 1 species
UACGGGGGGAGCAAGCGUUGUUCGGAUUUACUGGCGUAAGGGACGGCGUAGCGGCCUCUGCAAGUCGACUGUGAAAUCUCCGGGCUUAACCCGGAACGGUCAGCCGAUACUGCAGGGCUAGAGUGCAGAAGGGGCAACCGGAAUUCUCGGUGUAGCGGUGAAAUGCGUAGAUAUCGAGAGGAACACCUGCGGCGAAGGCAAUCCCCUGGGCCUGCACUGACGCUCAUGCACGAAAGCGUGGGGAGCAAACAGG